rnacentral:rRNA from 1 species
AUUCCAGCUCCAAUAGCGUAUAUUAAAGUUGUUGCGGUUAAAAAGCUCGUAGUUGGAGUUCUGCCAGGUGCCACCUGUCCGCCCCAGUGGUGAGUACGUGGUGCGCAUUUGGCCCUUUCAAGGGGAGCGUAUUUGCACUUAAUUGUGUGGUGCGGGAUCCUUGACUUUUACUUUGAGGAAAUAAGAGUGUUCCAAGCAGGCUCUCGUCGUGCAUAGCUCAGCAUGGAAUAAUAGCAUUGGAUCUCGAUCCCAAACUGUUGGUUGUAGGAAACGAGAUAAUGAUGAAGAGGGAUAGUUGGGGGCAUUCGUAUUUAACUGUCAGAGGUGAAAUUCUUGGAUUUGUUAAAGACGAACUACUGCGAAAGCAUCUGCCAUGGAUGUUUUCAUUA